rnacentral:lncRNA from 1 species
GGAGCACGGUUGGAUGUUGGCAUGUGUGAACGCCAUCCAGUAUCGGGCUAAAGGUAUCAUAUCCAACCUCCUAAUAUUCACCGGUGCACCGCUAGCAUUAGUCUGAAAGUGUCUACCAGGAAGACACACAACCUCCUCAAUUUCAGCCACAUUACCAAACAAACCAGCAUGUGUCGCAUACUAGCACUGCUCCCUUGGCCACUCUGUGCCCAAAAAGCUGUUAAUGGUAUCGGGGUCAUAACUGAUAGUCCGCCCCCUCACAAAGCUCGUAUAUCUCCCAGCAGCCACUCCUCCUCUAGGCACCGCGUUGGUGUAGAAUUCCUUCACCAACUCCACACUGGCAGGUGCCGGGUAAGUCGUCAACCUCUC